UUCGCCACAGCCCACAAGAAAGGUGCGUCACUUGCUUCCUUCACGGUUAUUGUCAUGUUCUGCGUUCAGUAUUUGCUGGCAAUGUGAUGUAAGCAGUACGGCCUUCCGCCGCUGCAUGUCUAACACAACAAGAUUGCCUGAUCUAUGUGGAAAGGAAGCAGGAGAAAAGCCCAAAAGGAGCGACAAAGUGUGAUAAACUUAUGGCCGUCCUAUGACCGAAAAACAUAAUGAUGCCCUUCACACUUCGCCCUCGCCAGCUGACCCGAGCGACGACCUGCCAACACCACCACCACCACCACCACCGCCGCCAGUAGUCGAGGGAGAGCCAGAGGAAGAGAUGGAGCCCUCCUGGUCACUCUCUCCCCGCGCCCUCUUGGCCGGGUUUGCCGUGCUGGUCGGCGUUCUAAUCUUUCAUCCAAGUCUGGUAAAUCUUUUGGUGAGGAGCGAAAAAACUCUUGUCCCUUUAACCUACGUCACAGAAUUCCACUACUGGUCCAGAGAACACCGCAACAGCCCGUGGAACCUGGUCAUAGGAUCACAGCGCUCCCUUGCUGCCUCACGCUUCUACCCUCAACAGACCUAUGUCAUUGUCCAUGGCUUCAUGGGCUCUGGGAUGGACCCCUGGAUCAUAGACCUCAAAGACGCUCUGUUAAACCGUGAAGAUUGCAAUGUCAUUAGCGUGAGUUGGUCGGCUGGCUCAUAUACCGCAAGCUACUUCGUCAUCCAGAAAAGGGUCCCUGACGUUGGCGAUGACAUCAGCAAACUUUUGAUAUACCUCAGAGAUGCCACUGGUCUUUCUGCAGACAGGAUCCACCUCAUUGGUCAUUCUUUAGGGGCCCAUAUCGUAGGCUUCACGGGAAAGAUAAUGAAUGGGACUCUGUCCAGAAUAACAGGUUUGGACCCGGCAGGCCUAAUGUUCCAUGCAGCAGAAAUCACUGAACGGUUAGAUAAAUCAGAUGCAACUUUCGUGGAUGUCAUCCACACUCAUGGCUGCACAACUAUUCUAAAUCAGUGGAAUGACUGUUAUGGUAUAGAUGAAAACAUCGGUGAUGCAGAUUUCUGGCCGAAUGGUGGACAACGACAACCUGCUUGCGGGGAGGGAGGAGAUGGAGACCUUCACACAAAAGAGGGCAGCAGCUGUGACCAUGCAAUGGCAUAUAUAUUAUACACGGAGAGCAUUCAGUACUCAACAUAUACUACAAAGUUUCUUGCCAGACCUUGUAAUUCCUGGCCAUAUUUCAACAAUGGCUCAUGCCCCUGCUACAUGCCUGGAUCCUCUGUUCAGUACAUGGGCUAUAAUGUCAAUCCACAGGUGAGUGGUGUCUUCUUCCUUAAUACAAGCAAGACUUCACCAUAUGCUCUUAAAGAUGAAGGAUGCUUUGCUGGAUUCUCCAUUCUACAAUUAAUAGGUUUAAUCCUAAUCUCCAUUCUCACGCUGUUGAUGAUGCUCGUUGUGGUAGCAGCAGUAGUCCAGCAGUAUUACGGCAUUCCUAUCCUUACUCGGCUGAGCUCAGCCAUGGGCUUUCACGGCGGUACCUGGCAUGGCCUGCAAGAAUCUUCGUCAUCAGAGUUACUUGCAGCCGCCAAAGAAAACGAAGUCAUCACCUAGUUUUUUUGUUUCCUACCUUUCUGUAGUACCGCACAGUGUUGAUCUAAUCACAAGGGAACACAUAGAAGUACCAUGCAUCAGUAGAUUGGCGAGGGUCAUCUCAUAUCUGCAACAACGUUUGAAUCUCCUUGUACCCGAAGACCAAGAUGACAGCCAAAAUGCAACAAGGGGUCAUUGGCGCAGACAAACAUCUACAUGAUGAUGUGGUAUCCCAAUAAAAGUCACCUCCAGGAUAUGAGUAUUCUUUUUAGCCUAUAUCUUAGUGUGCACACUUGUACUUUGUUUUGUUUGUUUUGUCAAGAGUGAACUUCUAUCACCAGAAAUACACAUCUCUCUCUCCUAAAUGGAAUGGCCGAGAAUCGAACCUGCAACCACCGAGGUGGGACGCUAAUACCAUACCAGCCACGCUGCUGAGGCGCUUCUAGUACUUUAAGCACCCCAGGAGAGCAAAAAUUCUAGCCCUGGAGGAAGUUACAUUUACAUUGAAGAUAUUCUGUAUUUCACAAUGGUAAUCAUUUAAGAAAAGUGUUUUUAUACACAGGAAUCUUGGUGCUAGUGGACCUCGAUUAUGCUUAUAAGCAUUAAUAGUUAUUAAACAGCACAUUAUUAAAAAUUUCCAAUUGAUUCUAAAAGGUCAUGUGUAAAAAACAAAACUGGAAGUUUAAAGGACAGCCAUUUAAAUAAAUUAUUAUAGCACAGGAACCUAAUUGUACUUAACCUAACCACAAUCACCAAAUAGUGAAUUAAUUUUAAAAUCCAACAGAAAACACUUAAAAAGUGUUGGAACACAUCACACUUUUAGUUACAGGAAUUAACGUAUUUACCAUUAAUAUUUUGAUAAGGCCUUAUUUACUUUUACAGGGACAAUGAAAUAUUUUUCUAUUUUAUAUAUUUAUUUAAAAAAUAUUAUCACCAUCUGGUAAAAAUUCACAUUGCAACGCAGCAUAACCCAACAGCCAGAAAAAUAUGAGAGAAUUAAAGUAAUGACGUGAAUAAUAUAUACAUUAUGGUGUCAUUAUCAAUGUCAAAGAGAGAGAGGGGAUGUAACAAACUGGAUUAGGCUGCACCACCCAAGAACAAGGUACUGCCAAGUACAUUUGCAAAUACUAUGGCAACUAUGUAGCAUACUGUUAUGCCUUGUGUUUAUUUGAACCUAAAAAUGUUAUCUUCAUCAGGAGAUCUUAUCUCAUCUGCAUACCUUGCACCUUGCACAGGAAUACAAUUUUCAGUGAACAUACAAGAUAAUUCUUAAAAAAAAAAAAAAAAAAAAUUUAAAA